rnacentral:rRNA from 1 species
AUUGAACGCUGGCGGCAGGCCUAACACAUGCAAGUCGAGCGGAUGAAGAGAGCUUGCUCUCUGAUUCAGCGGCGGACGGGUGAGUAAUGCCUAGGAAUCUGCCUGGUAGUGGGGGACAACGUUUCGAAAGGAACGCUAAUACCGCAUACGUCCUACGGGAGAAAGCAGGGGACCUUCGGGCCUUGCGCUAUCAGAUGAGCCUAGGUCGGAUUAGCUAGUAGGUGAGGUAAAGGCUCACCUAGGCGACGAUCCAUAACUAGUCUGAGAGGAUGAUCAGUCACACUGGAACUGAGACACGGUCCAGGCUCCUACGGGAGGCAGCAGUGGGGAAUAUUGGACAAUGGGCGAAAGCCUGAUCCAGCCAUGCCGCGUGUGUGAAGAAGGUCUUCGGAUUGUAAAGCACUUUAAGUUGGGAGGAAGGGCAGUAAGUUAAUACCUUGCUGUUUUGACGUUACCAACAGAAUAAGCACCGGCUAACUUCGUGCCAGCCGCCGCGGUAAGAC